rnacentral:rRNA from 1 species
GAAUCUACCCAGUUCUCUGGAAUAACUGAGGGAAACUUCAGCUAAUACCGGAUACGCCCUAUGGGGGAAAGAUUUAUCGGGAUUGGAUGAGCCCGCGUCCGAUUAGCUAGUUGGUGGGGUAAUGGCCUACCAAGGCGACGAUCGGUAGCUGGUCUGAGAGGAUGAUCAGCCACACUGGGACUGAGACACGGCCCAGACUCCUACGGGAGGCAGCAGUGGGGAAUAUUGGACAAUGGGCGCAAGCCUGAUCCAGCCAUGCCGCGUGAGUGAUGAAGGCCUUAGGGUUGUAAAGCUCUUUCAGUGGGGAAGAUAAUGACGGUACCCACAGAAGAAGCCCCGGCUAACUUCGUGCCAGCAGCCGCGGUAAUACGAAGGGGGCUAGCGUUGUUCGGAUUUACUGGGCGUAAAGCGCACGUAGGCGGAUCGUUAAGUCAGGGGUGAAAUCCUGGAGCUCAACUCCAGAACUGCCUUUGAUACUGGCGAUCUCGAGUCCGGAAGAGGUGAGUGGAACUCCUAGUGUAGAGGUGGAAUUCGUAGAUAUUAGGAAGAACACCAGUGGCGAAGGCGGCUCACUGGUCCGGUACUGACGCUGAGGUGCG